UACGUAGGGCGCAAGCGUUGUCCGGAAUUAUUGGGCGUAAAGAGCUCGUAGGCGGCCUGUUGCGUCCGCUGUGAAAUCCCGGGGCUUAACCCCGGGCUUGCAGUGGAUACGGGCAGGCUGGAGGCAGGCAGGGGAGAACGGAAUUCCCGGUGUAGCGGUGAAAUGCGCAGAUAUCGGGAGGAACACCGGUGGCGAAGGCGAGUCCCUGGACAGGUCCUGACGCUGAGGCACGAAAGCUAGGGGAGCAAACAGG
rnacentral:rRNA from 1 species